AGCAGCCGCGGUAAUUCCAGCUCCAAUAGCGUAUAUUAAAGUUGCUGCAGUUAAAAAGCUCGUAGUUGAAUUUCGGGAUCGAUAUAUCGGUCGUGCCUCGGUACGUACUGGUAUUUUCGGUUUCUACCCUCUGACGAACCUUGAUGUCAUUAAUUUGGUGUCCUGGGGAAUCAGGACUGUUACUUUGAAAAAAUUAGAGUGUUUAAAGCAGGCUCACGCUUGAAUACAUUAGCAUGGAAUAAUGAAAUAGGACGUUUGAUUCUAUUUUGUUGGUUUCUAGGAUCGACGUAAUGAUUAAUAGGGAUAGUUGGGGGCAUUAGUAUUCAAUUGUCAGAGGUGAAAUUCUUGGAUUUAUUGAAGACUAACUACUGCGAAAGCAUUUGCCAAGGAUGUUUUCAUUAAUCAAGAACGAAAGUUAGGGGAUCGAAGACGAUCAGAUACCGUCGUAGUCUUAACCAUAAACUAUGCCGACUAGGGAUCGGAUGAUGUUAAUUUUUUAAUGACUCAUUCGGCGCCUUAC
rnacentral:rRNA from 1 species